AAUACUCAGAGAGUUGCUAAAAUUUGAGAAUGUCAUUUACUCAAACCGCUUUUUUUGUGUUGUCGCUCAGCUUAAGUAAUAACAUGAAUAAGCAGAAGAGAGUUAAGUGUUUUUUAACCGCUUUGAGCUAAGUGGAAAAAUUCUGUGAGUGUUAAAACUACCGCGACAUAUUUGGCUAAGUGUUUUUGAUACACAAGUAUGAGAAAUAUGCGAGUAAGCACGCGGUGUAUUUUGAGUGGCGGUGCACUUCUGCAGGUCUCUGGUACUGAAACUCCAACACAUUCAAAGAAAUUUUAAUAACACCACUACAUACACACAUACACAACAAAGGGUAAAAUGUGCAUAAACAUUUAACUCAACUCUUCUCUCAUACAGCACCCUGAAUGAUAGAAAGAAACAACCAAAGUUCUCGUGUUUGAACAAGUUUUGUUUUGAGGUAUAUCAUGGCGGCUUGUGAAGUAUUAUUUUGCGUGUUUUAUUUAAUUCAGUGAUCUGCAGCCUAAUUAAAGUUUAAAUUUUUGAAGCACGCAUUUUUAAAUAAGUAAAACGUAAAAUAAAAGUUUUCUAAAGCCAAAAUAUGGAAUUGAAGAGGGUGAUACAGAAAUACUUCAUUGCACUGUCAAUUCGAAGCACGCAAUAGAAGCUACGCCAACAAUGGUCAACAUCAAUGGCGAAACCAUUUAAUACAUAUUUCAAACCUCAUAUGGCGCGUUAAAGGUACGCAAACUUAUUGGUGUCACUUAUUGUAGCAGCGUAGAACUUUCGAAGCGAUGGAAUAUGUGCUGCAAGCAAAUCCAAAACUAUGGACGCAAACGCUGCUACAUGGAACACAAAUCAUUCACACACCAGAUAUUACGUUUAAUGUCACUUUUUUGCGUGCAAUUAAACUUUUUGGUCAACACAAGCACGAGAAUUGGAACGACAUGGUUUAGGUGCUUGUGAAACCGUUUAUUAUCACGACGUGUGUCAACUGGGUUUUGCCAAUGAGCUAGAGGGCAAAGCAGUUUCAGUAUCUUUGAGCUUACCGGCACUUGGUCGUGCCAUUAGCAGCUAAAACACAGAAAUUAAAGGGAGGACUUUUUUGAUUCAUUUUCACCUUGUAUUGAGGAACCAUAACGUUGUUGUAUCGCUUUACAAGGACAUAAAUUCACCGAAAUUAGUUCAAUGGAAAUACUACAGCAAGAGCAUGGAUGUUAAGACUUGAACGGUGCCGUGUUAGAUUUAGAAUUCCUGAAACAUAAGAUAAUUAUUACCAACUUUUAUUACAAACUU